rnacentral:rRNA from 1 species
AAUAGCCUAACGGCUGAACCAGCAACUUGGAGGAAUGAAUAGCGAUAGCUAAUUGCAUAUAUGUAUGAUGCAAUAUCGACUCAGUCGAAUAAAAUUCUGGCUAGGAUUAUGAUAAUGACAUUGUCUAGCUAUGUGUCUUGACCAAAUUACGUGCCAGCAGUCGCGGUAAUACGUAAAAGACUAGUGUUAUUCAUCUUUAAUAGGUUUAAAGGGUACCCAGACAGUAAAUCAAGCCCUAUACGGGACUAAUUUGCUAGAGUUACUUGCACGGGGGUUAUAAAGUACUAAUGGUGUAGAGAUAAAAUUUUGUAAUACCAUUUUUCGAAAGAAAAGUUAUGGCACUGGUAAAGGCGAAAGCAUCCCCUUAUGUGAUAACUGACGUUGAAGGACGAAGGCUUUGGAUCGCAAACAGGAUUAGGUACCCUAGUAGUCUAAGCAGAGAAUUAUGAGUGUCAUAGAUUAGAAAUUAAUUUUAUUCUAUAAAUGAAAGUGUAAGCACUCCACCUCAAGAGUAAUUUGGCAACAUUGGAACUGAAAUCAUUAGACCGUUUCUGAA